UUUUUUUUCAUUUUUUUUU
rnacentral:sRNA from 1 species